rnacentral:rRNA from 1 species
GAUGAACGCUGACAGAAUGCUUAACACAUCAGCAAAUGAUUGGUGGCGGACGGGUGAGUAACGCGUAAAGAACUUGCCUCACAGCUAGUGACAACAUUUGGAAACGAAUGCUAAUACCUCAUACUGUGAGAGAGCUUUGCGUCCCAUUAGAUAGUUGGAGAGGUAACGGCUCACCAAGGCGAUGAUGGGUAGCCGGCCUGAGAGGGUGAUCGGCCACAUGGGGACUGAGAGACGGCCCUUAUUCCUACGGGAGGCAGCAGUGGGGAAUAUUGGACAAGGGACCAAAGUCUGAUCAAGCAAUCCUGUGGGCACGAUGAAGUUUUCGGAAUGUAAAGUGCUUUCAGUUGGGAAGCGGUACCAAAAGAAGAAGUGACGGCUAAAUACGUGCCAGCAGCCGCGGUAAUUC